AGGUCUUCUUAAGACAGAAUUAAAAACAACUGCUGAUAAGGGCCCUCUUCAUAUGUACUGUGCUUCAAGAAAGGUAAUGGUUUGCCAACCAUUGUUUCAUCUUCUGGUGUUCUUCCUGCUACUGCUUCUAAUAAGAAAGGGCAUUGAAUUUCCAAUCCUCAUCCCCUUUUAGGAUCCUCAUCUUUCUUACUGGAUCUGAAUCUAGGAUGAAAACUCAGUCAUGGUGGUAGGAAAGAAUAAGGUUAGAGAGAAAGUCAUCACUGUGUCAUAUCUGAAGCUCUAGAGGCACAAAGUAUCUUCUAAAGAUGGACACAGCAAUAUAUCCCUUCCCACAUGCUCUCUUUACCAAUUUGACUUUAUAUCCUUCCAUUAGACAGGGUAGGGGAAGACAUACUCUUUCCUCCUGAAUCUUGAUGGACUUGGGACUGUGGCAGAAGUGAAGCUAUAUGACUUGCAAGCCAGAGUCUCUUGAGAUGCUCAUUCUUGGAACCUGGCCAUCCUAGCAUGAGAAAGCUCAAGAAUCCCAUGGAAUAAAAUAGGAUCGGAGUUCAAAGACUAGCUGAGCCCCCUACCUGAUAGUGUGCAUAAGAUGCCAGACAUAUGAGUGGGACAGGCCCCUCUUCAGUUGCCUCAACUGAUGCUGCAUGGAACACAGACUAACUGUUCACACCAAAGCAGGUCAAGUUCCAUAAGCAAAGUAAUUGUUUUAGGCUAACAUGUGUUGUGGUAGUUUGUUGCAAAGAACUAACUAGAACAGUUUCCUUCACACAUGGAAAACUGA